rnacentral:rRNA from 1 species
GACGUAGGGGGCGAGCGUUGUCCGGAAUUAUUGGGCGUAAAGGGCUCGUAGGCGGUUUGUCGCGUCGGGAGUGAAAACUCAGGGCUUAACCCUGAGCCUGCUUCCGAUACGGGCAGACUAGAGGUAUGCAGGGGAGAACGGAAUUCCUGGUGUAGCGGUGAAAUGCGCAGAUAUCAGGAGGAACACCGGUGGCGAAGGCGGUUCUCUGGGCAUUACCUGACGCUGAGGAGCGAAAGUGUGGGGAGCGAACAGG